rnacentral:rRNA from 1 species
ACGCUCGACACCUACGGGGCAGCAGUCGGGAAUAUUGCGCAAUGGAGGAAACUCUGACGCAGUGACGCCGCGUGCAGGAAGAAGGUUUUCGGAUUGUAAACUGCUUUAGACAGGGAAGAAAGAAAUGACAGUACCUGUAGAAUAAGCUCCGGCUAACUACGUGCCAACAGCCGCGGUAAUCUGAGCGGGCUGGCAAGGC